GAUGAAGAACGCAGCGAAAUGCGAUAAGUAAUGUGAAUUGCAGAAUUCAGUGAAUCAUCGAAUCUUUGAACGCACAUUGCGCCCCCUGGUAUUCCGGGGGGCAUGCCUGUCCGAGCGUCAUUACUGCCCUCAAGCGCGGCUUGUGUGUUGGGCCCUCGUCCCCCCCGGGGGACGUGCCCGAAAGGCAGUGGCGGCGCCGUGCCCGGACCUCGAGCGUAUGGGGCUUUGUCACCCGCUCUGGAGACCCGGCCGGCGGCCGUCGGACCACCCCAACCUUUUUAACCGGUUGACCUCGGAUCAGGCAGGGAUACCCGCUGAACUUAAGCAUAUCAAUAAGCGGAGG
rnacentral:misc_RNA from 1 species